GGACGACGCUGGCGGCGCGCCUAACACAUGCAAGUCGAACGGAGCUACGUUUUCAGAAGUUUUCGGAUGGACGAAGAUUUAGCUUAGUGGCGAACGGGUGAGUAACGCGUGGGUAACCUGCCUUUUAGAGGGGGACAACAGUUGGAAACGACUGCUAAUACCGCAUAAGACCACGGUAUCGCAUGAUACAGUGAUCAAAGGAGCAAUCCGCUAAAAGAUGGGCCCGCGUCUGAUUAGAUAGUUGGUGGGGUAACGGCCUACCAAGCCGACGAUCAGUAGCCGGACUGAGAGGUUGAUCGGCCACAUUGGGACUGAGACACGGCCCAGACUCCUACGGGAGGCAGCAGUGGGGAAUAUUGCACAAUGGGGGAAACCCUGAUGCAGCGACGCCGCGUGAGGGAAGAAGGUAUUCGUAUUGUAAACCUCUGUCUUCGGGGACGAUAAUGACGGUACCCGAGGAGGAAGCACCGGCUAACUACGUG
rnacentral:rRNA from 1 species